rnacentral:siRNA from 1 species
GGCAUCUGCUCGAACCGAAGUUCC